ACGUAAAAUGACGCAUCGCUUCAGCGGAAGGGAGUGCAAGUCUUCCGCCGCCCCGCGACUGUAAUCGGGACGAAAACCGCGGAAUGCCACUGGGAGGCACGAAGCUUGCCGGGAAGGCGCGGUGAGUAGGAUGAACGAGAGCCAGGAGACCUGAGCGAUGCAGGAAUUUCAC
rnacentral:ncRNA from 2 species